GAUGAACGCUGGCGGCGUGCUUAACACAUGCAAGUCGAACGGCAGCACGGACUUCGGUCUGGUGGCGAGUGGCGAACGGGUGAGUAAUGUAUCGGAACGUGCCCAGUCGUGGGGGAUAACGUAGUGAAAAUUACGCUAAUACCGCAUACGAUCUAUGGAUGAAAGCGGGGGAUCGCAAGACCUCGCGCGAUUGGAGCGGCCGAUAUCAGAUUAGGUAGUUGGUGGGGUAAAGGCCCACCAAGCCAACGAUCUGUAGCUGGUCUGAGGGGACGGCCAGCCACACAGGAACGGAGACACGGUCCAGACUCCUACGGGAGGCAGCAGUGGGGAAUUUUGGACAAUGGGCGAAAGCCUGAUCCAGCCAUUCCGCGUGCAGGAUGAAGGCCCUCGGGUUGUAAACUGCUUUUGUACAGAACGAAAAGGUUUCUACUAAUACUAGGAGCUCAUGACGGUACUGUAAGAAUAAGCACCGGCUAACUACGUGCCAGCAGCCGCAGUAAGAC
rnacentral:rRNA from 1 species